GACGAACGCUAGCGGCGUGCCUAAGCUAUGCAAGUCGAGCGGGGUUUCAGAGUCGAGUUUCCUUCGGGAGACAAAGCACUGAAACCUAGCGGCGAACGGGUGAGUAACACGUGAGCAACCUACCCUGUUGUCCGGGAUAACAGACCGAAAGGCCUGCUAAUACCGGAUACGAAGCUCCUUCGCAUGUUGGAGCUUGGAAAGGGGCAACCCGCAAUGGGAGGGGCUUACGGCCUAUCAGCUAGUUGGUGAGGUAACGGCCCACCAAGGCGACGACGGGUAGCCGACCUGAGAGGGUGACCGGCCACACUGGGACUGAGACACGGCCCAGACUCCUACGGGAGGCAGCAAGCGGGAAUCUUGCACAAUGGGCGCAAGCCUGAUGCAGCGACGCCGCGUGAGGGAUGAAGGCCUUCGGGUCGUAAACCUCUGUUGAUGGGGACGAAGAUCUGACGGUACCCAUCGA
rnacentral:rRNA from 1 species